GUAUUGCCCACGCACUGACGGUCAAACCGUGACACUCUGUACAUUGUAAUGGGGGCAAAUUGUGAUUUCAGAGAGGUAUGUGUAAAUCGGGACACAUUAUGCUUAGUGUACAAGGUGUUAUUUUUUUUACAACAUAUUAACAUCUUCCUGCAUUUCCUUCUUCAAAGGAAAACAUGCUGCAAAUUAGGAGAUGGUGGUGUCUCGCUCUCCUGCAGAACUUCCCUUAGCCGUCUGAAGAAGACCGAUUGCAGGACAGAAAACGGCGACGAGUGCAAGGAGGGCUACAGACUCUGGGAAAUUGACAGAACUGGAAACCGGGAACAGGGUUGCUUGUUAUGGCCCAGAAAAAUACCCUGAUACUUGCCAUUGUUAAACAUUUAUGGAAGCUUAAGGAAUGUAUUUGGCUAGGCUAAAACAUUUUUU